AUCUCCUCAUCCACGCACCGAAUAGCCCCCAUCGAUGGCGCUCUAGGCUCGCCGUCUGCCACCCUCUCGCCGGCCCCGUCGCUCCCCCGCCCUGUCGCCGGCCGCGUCACUCCCCUGCCCCGUCGCCGUCGCUCCCCGCCCCGUCGCCGGCCCUCCCCCGCCCCGUCGCCGGCCCUCCCUCUCCACCCUGUCGCGGGCCCUGUCGCUCCCCCGCCCUAUCGCCGGCCACGUCGCUCCCCCGCCCCGUUGCUGGCCCUCCCCCUCGUCCACGGCCCGCCCUGUCGAGGUCCAGGUCCACGACGGAUCCGCCUACGCCGGCGUCUUCCACACCACCUCCCUCGAUGCUGGAUACGGUGAAUUUUUGUCUAUGCUCUGUGGCGUCGAGCUGUAAAUCUUCUGAUGCUAUUUUGUGCCAUAUGGGCAAACACUAAGUUCCGAGGAAGAGAUGUCAUAUGUGUACCAUAUGGAUAAACACUCUACAUUCUAAAGGACGGGUAGAAGGUGCAUCCCCUGGAUUGUCUUACUUAACCUGGCAACAAAGAGAGGAGGUUGCAAAGAAGCACGAAGGGGAAUACAUGUCUGCAUUUUUCCUGACUGAGGUAUCAAGGAAAUUAAAUUUUCUGGAGGAAGUGCUUUCUUCAAUAUCAGAUUGCUAUAAAGGAUGAGAUGCUCCACACAUUUUGAGAGCUUAGAGGUUAGUUUCUAGCAGAGUUAGUGACGGAACUGAAAACUGUUUCAGUCGAGGUUGAGGAUAAAUCUUAUGCUGCCACAUGUUUAGAGUUUGUGAUAAGAACCAAAAUAUCAAGGUUUAAAAAGUGGAUGCUUCGAGUAUGAUAGAUCCUAUGUUUCUGUGUUAAUCUAUUUCAAAUAUCUUUAAUCAGAGUCAAAGCAUGACAUGUUAUGUCUUGGAUCAUGAGUGAAGUCCAAUGUUGACAUACAUUUAGUGUUUGCUGAUGGUUCUAGGUAGAACUGAAUUAGGCUAAUUAAUAAACAUGCUGAGUUUUGAAUGUUGAAUUCGAGUUAUAGAAGCAUCCAUAGACAUGAUACCGAGCUCUUUACAAUCAUCUCAUAUUCUGGUGAUUGCAACAAGAAAGUCAGUUUGUAGGUGGAGCUGCGGCCACCAUUGAUGAUGGCUUCCAUCUGGCGUGUACAGGAAAAUUGUAUAGUGCACGAGUGCUUGGCUUUCGAUUUUUAUGGGCUUUUCACCAAAGAUUCUUUUGUGUUAUAUGCCAAAGAUGGAACUGUCUUAUCAGAAGGUUGAUUUUUUUGUCUUUCAGAGUGUACAAAACUGUUUCUAACCUGAACUAUUUUUAUUUGGGAAACAUGCUCUUGGUGUACAAGUUUAAAAUGUAAGUAUGCAUACUCACAGUCGAUUAGUCUACUAUUUGGUCCUUAGAAAAACGGAAGAUAGAACAUUCAAUGAU